rnacentral:lncRNA from 1 species
GGAGUAGCCAAGUAGGAGGUGUAGUGCCUGCUGAAGGGGAAAUAAAAACAAAAUAGGAAUUGAUGCUGCAAGCAGGUUGCUAGAAGUUAGGUUUGAGGUGGGCUUAGAGAUGAUGAAGUUCUAAAGGGUUGCUAAGCCCCUGCCUGUGCUGCUAAUAGGUUGGGGUUAGCAGGGGCAUCCCAGCCCUCCUAGAGGCUUAAAAUAAAGUUGGUAAUGAGGUUAGGCAUUGUUUUUGAAGUAAUUUGUGGUUGGAUUGACUGCAGGUCACCUGUGAUUGCUCCAAAUAGCAGAGGGAGAGAAAAUCUUUGUGUUGGCCAUGGAGAAGGUGUGAACAGGAACACAGGGGAUGGCAGAUCUACUGGAAUGAUGAAUGUUUCAGGAGAUCAGAGCUGGCCUCACAACACCUGGCAGCACAAGUGGGAAAUGAAUGAAUGAGAUGCAAAUUGGACAUCUUGACUAGAAAAGAUGGACUGUUUCCUUCUGAAGAUUGAAUCAUGGACGGUAUGCCAAGGCUGGCGCAGAUGGAUUCAGUGGAGCCAACCCUGAUGAACUGUAAAGAAAAUCCCCUGUCUCAUAGACAAAGCAGAAGAUUUCUGAAAUGAAGAGUGGCUAUUUUACAAGCGACUUGUGAGCAUUCCUGUGAGACUGUGCUGCUAACAGAUGUCCUUAGAAUUGUUCUCGCAGGCCCCUUGGAACGGAAUGCACACAUGGCACAAAGUGCAACCAGACACUCAGUGCAGCACAGGCUGAUUUAAACCUGGGCGAGUGACUUGAUGGAGCAAGGUCGUGUUAUGUCUCAAGCCUCAGUGAAGACGAUGAGAAUGGAACUGAGAUUCAGGCUAAUCACAGCAAAAACAAUUAGUAACUUCUUACAACUAGAUUGCCUUUAAAGACAUUUUCUUACGUAAGACAGUUGAGGGGAUUAUUAAAAGUGUUUCCAAAGGCAUAAAAAUGUGUAUUAGAUCAUAAUUCAGACUCCACGUUUGAGGGUGAUAUACCGAGAACCUUGUCACGAUCUUAGUCUUUUAGUUCAGCACCUUCCCAAGGACAGAAUGUGAGCCUUACAGUGGUCCUGUUGCAACAAGACUGCUUCCUUGAAAAGAGUCUUAGUUGUGAUUUAAAGUCUUUAAAGAGAAGAAGGAAUGAAAAAUCCCAGUGGUUGAACUCCUACAUCUUUGUCAAUGACACUGAGUUCCUUUGGUAUCAAACUUCAGCUAGAAAAUGACCAAACAGUUCUGUCACCUUCCUUUUUAUUUCAUAUACUACAUCAGUGUUUUCUUUGGUGUACAUUUCUCCAAGACAUCUUUAUCUUCAGCCAUAUGUUGGAAUCAACUCUUCCUGCCAAAAUUUCUUGACUCUUUCUUGAUUUCUGAACUCCAAACCUGAAGAACCCAAGGUUGCCAACAUCCAGAAUGCCCCGCUUACCUUUCCCAUA